rnacentral:tRNA from 1 species
GGGCGUGUGGUCCAGCUGGUCUAAGACACCGCUCUCACACAGCGGGAAUCGGCGGUUCGAAUCCGCCCACGCCCACCA